CAUUCUACUGUUUAUUACACAUAUUACAUUCUUAAAUAAAAAUGCGUCACAUAACAUUUUUGCAUAGAUAUCUUACAAUAUACCAAUUUAAAAAAGAAUUAUGAAACAGACCAGUAACAAAAAUAAAUUUUUUCUUCAUUAAUAAUUUUGUAACAUUAACAUACCACCAUCAUAUAAUACAAAUAAUAGUUUUAAAUCUUAAGACUUUUGUACAGCAAAAAAACUUGACAAAGUAAUAUAUUUAUAUAUAUAUAUAAAAAGCUUAAAAAAAAUAAAAUGUCAAAAAAAGGCAUAACCGAGGGCUAUAAGACUGGGUACUUCUGUGAUAUAUUAUAAAUACCAGAGAAGGCCUGAGAGAAUGUGACAGGGAGGUGGGGGGAGGGGAGGCUCCAAAAACAUUAAACAUUUAGUUUGCCUUUGUGUUAGCAAGGAGAUCUUGGCCCUAACAGGUGUAUUUUUCCUCCCUGGGAUGAAGCAGAAGUGAGAUGGAAGAAAUCAAAUUGUCUGAGCUUGAGUGAGCAAAUGCAUGCUGGGAAGCAAAAAGGAAACAAAAAAGGCUAAUGAGCCCCCAAAUCUUUAGGACCUCGGUUUACAGAAAUUAUUCUGCCUCUGGUCCCAAGGGCUAGGAUUGAAAUGUCCCCUCUCCCCACCCACUGCCCCUCCCCUGUAUGUGGAACUAACUCCCAGUGGUGUGGUUUUUAUAUACUGGCAUUAUAAGCAUCCAUCCCCCCAAAAGAGAUUAGGCACUGGUGGCUACCCCUCUUAUACCUCAGUAGCCUGUUUUCCUUCUGCGAAGGUACAGUAGGUAUGUAUGCACACCCAUGCAGGUGUGUGCACACACACCACCCUCAUUAUUCUGACGUGGGGUCCUUUGUAUGGCAGUAGACAGAAGCUGGGGUCAAAGCAAUUACGAUUCCAAAACUCACAGUUGAAAAAAAUCGUAUAAACGGUCCCCAACCAAGAACACAUCAACCUUCCCUCAUGACCACAGAGAGGGAGCCCUAUUUGAAAAAGAGUAUCUUGUUUGGGAUAUUUGCUAAGUGACGACUUUGAUCUCACUCCUGUUGUGGAUACCUGUUUCCCGAGGACUUACUGGAAAAUGCAGAACACCUGAAGAAUACAGUACUAUAUUGAAAGAUGCUCAUAAGAAAGUUAAUUGCAGCUUAGCUAUCCCCUUUCUGGGAUCUGUUAGAGGAACCAAGAGAGGAGAUUUAAGUGUUAAAAACAAGAAACCCUGAAGCUCAGGCAUUAGUCAUGAGACACCACAUUUCAUAGGAGCAGAUUUUGCUUCCUUUGACAUAUUUCUGUUGUCCAUCUCAAGUGCUCCCAAAGAUCCUCAAAGAGAAACACAUGCCAUCAGGAAGGCAGCAAUGGACACUCAGGCUGGGCCCUCCGGUUGCAAAUUAAGCAUCACCAUGUUUCCCGAAAUGCAACCCAGACACUCAGAACCAGGUAUCCUCCUGCCCCAACUUCUGCCACUUCUAAAAUAAAAUUGAGGAAAAGUUUUCAUGAAUUUAUUUCAGCCAAGUCUUUCUUAAGUUCCACCUGGGCAAUAUUCUAGGUGCAAGAUUUCAGCCGGAUGUGAGGUCUUUUGUUUGUUUGUUUGUUUAAAGGGAGAGAAGGCAGACAGAUUUCUGGAGUCAAAUGGGUUGUUCAUGCUCCCUUCCUCUUUCCUUCUGAAGUAACACACGCAGAAGAGGAGAUAUAAGUAGUCCCCACAUUUACAUUAUGAACUGAUUCCCACAGAGGAAAUCACUCAGAACCGUGAAAAUUAAUCACACUGAGGUUUGCAUUGGCAAACCAUUUCUUUGGGCUUUCCCAUGGGAUGCAGGAGUGGAGGCUGCAGGCAGGACAGUUCUGAAUGCUUGAGUUAGCCAACCCUCCCCCUCCCCCAUUUGUUUUCCCUUGGAUGCAAAUAGACACAGAUCAUUUGGAAGCAUAUCCCAAAUUCAAGUCCCUAAAUACACUCUUCUCUAAUUUCAAAGAAGAUUUAAAAAUAAAAAAUAAAUUAAAAAAAAUUCCUAGGAAUCCAUCCUGCUCAUCAGACAUGAGGUUGGCUCUCUUUUUACCCUGUUAUCAUCAGGCGAUCAAAGAUGGAAAAGGGUAGAGGUGUGCAUGGGGAGGUGGCAGCAGGGAGAGUGGGGAGUGGUUGAAGGGCUUUGGGAAGGAAACUGGGACAGGGAAAUGGCCAGCAUGAAGGUCAUUGGGGGGGGGUCUCCAAUAUUUUUACAAAAAUGCAGCUUUAACUUGGAAUCCAAACAUCUCUUUCUUUCUGGACAAAGUACUCAUCCACAUAGGCAUGAGGUUGGGCCAGUAAGCUGACAGUGGGACAGGAGGCCAGGAGCAAAGAGCAGCAUUACAAUGUCGGUCCCCACAUCCCUGAAGGUCACGUGGAGGAGAAAGAGAAGUAACUUGAAGUAAAGAAAAUCACCAGUGGCUUAGAACCAUGUCUUCUACAUAGCCAUCUCUGGGCCCUGGAUAGAAUGCUCAAGAGGACAGCCUAUGCCACAUUUAUGCCAGGCUUGCCCUUUCAAAUCUGGGAUCCCCUUGGAAUGCUAGGAGGUAAUGUCUUAAAUUGUGAAAGGGAUUUCAUGUUUCAAAUAUCCAUGACACCAUUCUAGACACCCAGUCCUCUUGGGAGCAAAGGACACGUUGAGGUUAUUUCUUGAAAAACCUGCUCCCUCCAGAGGCAUCAAGCAACUGCCUCUGCAGUUGAGGAAGAAUGGAGGAGGACGUGUCAUAAACCUAUUUCUAAAAUGUCCAAGGGAUACCCACCCCAAGCUAAGGACUCGCAAUCUUCCACAGGUCUUCACUGGGGUUAGAGAAGAACAGAUUCAAAGCCAUGCGCUUAGCACCCACCAAAUUCUCAGGCCAAUUCCCACAGCCAACAAAGGACUCUGAAGCAAGCAAGCACCAUCAUGGUAUCUCAGUGCGCCCUGCUCCAAGAGAGAUCAGGAGCAGAUCACAAAGACCUCACUGAUACAAAAGAGAAAUUACCAAACAUUUCAGACACCAAAGAGGACCAAGGGGCCUUUGUUCUGCCACAUUCAAAUGAAACCACAGAUGGCGAGAGGGACAAACAGCAAUGAUUACUCUUUUGCAUUUCUUUCUUUUCUUUUUUUUUUUUUUCCUUUUUCUUUUUUUAUAGAGCCUUGCAUUGGUCAGUACAAAAAAAAAUUAAAUUAAGUACUAUAAA
rnacentral:lncRNA from 1 species